AUACUCAAGAGACUGAGGUGGGAGGAUCACUUGAGCCCAGGAGGGUGAAGGUGCUGUGAGCUGUGAUCAUGCCAUUGCACUCCAGCCUGGGCGACAAGAGCAAAACUCCGUCUCAAAAAAAGAGUUAAAAUGGACAAGACUUGGUGGGUAUUAGCAGGUAAAGGGGAGAAGGGUGAGGGAAGUCAGGCGUGACUCCAGUUUCUGGCUUGGGCAGCUGGAUCGAAGAUGGUGCUGAGGAGGGAAACAUGGGAGGACAAUCAGGCUUGAGUGGAAAGAUGGUGAAUUUCUCCCCUAUUCUAUUCCUAAUAGUUGGAGUUCUUUCUAAGCAGGGCUUCUGUAGUUCUGUAGCAGGUAGAAGCCUUUCAGGGCCACUAAGGUGCUGGCAUGAUGCGUGUUAUUCCAGUGCCUCCUAGUGAUGAUUUUUCCAAGCAAUUGUGUUUUAUUAGCUGAACCUCUGGGUGGAAGAACAGUGACAGUGUCAAGCUGAGACUAAUAAUCCUCCAGAUCACAUAGACUGCUACACACACACAUAAACUGUGAAAUUCCUGUGUCAUCUCAUGGUUCAUUUUAUGAUCAGUUAAAAAAAGCAGCCUCCCUCUUGUUCCACAUACGUAUUCCACAGAAUACAA